UGGCUAAUAAGUGACGGUACCGUUACCAGAAAGGGACGGCUAACUACGUGCCAGCAGCCGCGGUAAUACGUAGGUCCCGAGCGUUAUCCGGAAUUAUUGGGCGUAAAGGGCACGUAGGCGGACAAAUAAGUUUGAUGUCAAAUAUGAUGGCUCAACCAUCAAGAGGCGUUGAAAACUGUUUAUCUAGAAUCUCGGAGAGGUAAGUGGAAUUCCAUGUGUAGCGGUGGAAUGCGUAGAUAUAUGGAGGAACACCAAUGGCGAAGGCAGCUUACUGGACGAAGAUUGACGCUGAGGUGCGAAAGCGUGGGUAGCAAACAGGAUUAGAUACCCUGGUAG
rnacentral:rRNA from 1 species